UACAUAGGGCGCAAGCGUUGUCCGGAAUUAUUGGGCGUAAAGAGCUCGUAGGUGGUUUGUUACGUCUGCUGUGAAAACCUAGGGCUUAACCCUGGGCCUGCAGUGGAUACGGGCAGACUAGAGGUAGGUAGGGGAGAAUGGAAUUCCCGGUGUAGCGGUGAAAUGCGCAGAUAUCGGGAGGAACACCGGUGGCGAAGGCGGGUCUCUGGGCCGAUACUGACGCUGAGGGGCGAAAGCGUGGGGAGCGAACAGG
rnacentral:rRNA from 1 species